rnacentral:tRNA from 1 species
GACCCACUAGUCAAGUGGCUAAGACAUAACACUUUCAAUGUUACAUUCCCGGGUUCGAUCCCCGGGUGGGUUA